UACAGAGGUCCCAAGCGUUGUUCGGAUUCAUUGGGCGUAAAGGGUGCGUAGGCGGCGCGGUAAGUCGGGUGUGAAAUCUCGGAGCUUAACUCCGAAACUGCAUUCGAUACUGCCGUGCUUGAGGACUGGAGAGGAGACUGGAAUUUAUGGUGUAGCGGUGAAAUGCGUAGAGAUCGUAAGGAAGACCAGUGGCGAAGGCGGGUCUCUGGACAGUUCCUGACGCUGAGACACGAAGGCCAGGGGAGCAAACGGG
rnacentral:rRNA from 1 species